UCCUGUCUGUACUGUCCCAAUCACACAUGUGUUUAUGUGCAGAUUGAAGGAAUGUGCCCCGGAUAUUCACUUACAGGCUGGUCAGCCUUUGAGCAAAGACUAGCUUUGAGGCUGGCUGGAGUUGCUAGAUGGAUCAUCUGUUUACGUCUGUGUAAGCUGGCACACUCAUAUCAGUCUUUCAUAAUGAGAUACAGCAUCUUACAGAGAGGCUUCAGGAUGCACACAAGGCUGGUGAUCACCAGGAAUACAGUUAAGAUGGGUUUCUCUGUAGGCCGUGUCUCCUGAGGACAGGGCUUUUCAAGAUGAAAAUGAACUGACAACUAAAGAUGCACUGACCCUGCUGUAAAUUCAUAUCCGUUUUGAAGACCAUGCUCCCUGUUGCAGUUUAUUACAAAUGACAUGUCUGUUUAAACUUGUUGUAUCAUUCCUGUUGUGCAGCACCUUUUGAACUAUUUUUUUUGAACUAUUCAAAAAAUGAAAAUGGUCAUGAUUCAUUUUUAACCCUAAAAUGCAUAAAGGGGAUGCAAAUUGAA